AAAUUGAAGAGUUUGAUCAUGGCUCAGAUUGAACGCUGGCGGCAGGCCUAACACAUGCAAGUCGAACGGUAGCACAGAGAGCUUGCUCUCGGGUGACGAGUGGCGGACGGGUGAGUAAUGUCUGGGAAACUGCCUGAUGGAGGGGGAUAACUACUGGAAACGGUGGCUAAUACCGCAUAACGUCGCAAGACCAAAGAGGGGGACCUUCGGGCCUCUUGCCAUCAGAUGUGCCCAGAUGGGAUUAGCUUGUUGGUGAGGUAACGGCUCACCAAGGCGACGAUCCCUAGCUGGUCU
rnacentral:rRNA from 1 species